UCCUAGUGGUUUAGAUGUUAAAGAAUCUGCCUGCAAUGCAGGAGACCUGGGUUCCAUUCCUGGGUUGGGAA
rnacentral:tRNA from 1 species